rnacentral:misc_RNA from 1 species
UCACCCCUCAAGCCCUGUGCUUGGUGUUGGACGGCCGGUCGAGCGAUCGACCCCUCCUAAAGACAAUGACGGCGGCCUGUGGUUCCCCCGGUACACUGAGCUUUUCACCGAGCACGUAUCGGACAAGGGCACCCGGGACCCGGUCCUCUCCUUUAGUUAAAGGAAACUUUUAC